UACGAAGGGGGCUAGCGUUGCUCGGAAUCACUGGGCGUAAAGCGCACGUAGGCGGAUUGCUAAGUCAGGGGUGAAAUCCUGGAGCUCAACUCCAGAACUGCCUUUGAUACUGGCGAUCUUGAGUCCGGGAGAGGUGAGUGGAACUGCGAGUGUAGAGGUGAAAUUCGUAGAUAUUCGCAAGAACACCAGUGGCGAAGGCGGCUCACUGGCCCGGUACUGACGCUGAGG
rnacentral:rRNA from 1 species